GUCAGUACAGGCGGUGCGAUGAGUUUUUCUUGUUUUUAAGUGCAGCUAUAUGUAAUCCUGUCAAAGGGAUAAUAUUUCAUGAAUUAAAGCCAGUUUCAAGGUAUUUUGAAAGGUAUGGAUUGAAAGCUCUGAAAUUUUGUAAGAAGCCGAAGAUUUUGUAAAAUCAUGCUCUGUGUCAAAUUGACAUAUAGUGCUUCUUAUAUUUUGAUGAUGUUUUUAUUCCUUUGUUAAGCUUGAACAAAAAUGUCGGCAAAAUCAUUUCUUUUUUUAAAAUUGGCACUUGUAAAUCAAAAAGGAGGUUUGCUCAUGAAAUAAUGUAAGAAAAAUAACCCCAAAGAACUCUUUGAAAAAGGAGAAGAAAGCAAUAUAAAUCCUAUAAAGUAGGAGUUCCAAUUUUGUGCCAAAUUAAAAAUGUCUGGACAUCCUUCUUCAUCUGCUUGGAAGAAUCAAGAUGAUAGAAGAUAUCAGCCUUCAAUAUCUCAGGAUGAAAGAAGAUAUCAGCCUUCAACAUCUCAGGAUGAAAGAAGAUAUCAGCUUUCUACAUCUCAAGAUGAAAGGAGAUAUCAGCUUUCAACAUCUCAAGAUAAAAGAAAGCAUCAGCCUUCAGAUGAAAGGAGAUAUCACCCUUCAACGUCUCCAGAUGAAAGAAGACAUCACCUUCCAGCAUCUUCAGAGGAAAUAAGACAUCACCUUCCAGCUUCUUUAGAGGAAAAACAUCACUUUCCAGCAUCUUCAGAGGAAAUAAGACA